CGCGCAGGCGGAUCAGCAAGUCAGAUGUGAAAUCUCAGGGCUCAACCCUGAAACUGCGUCUGAAACUGCUAGUCUAGAAUGUCGGAGGGGGCAGGGGAAUUUCACGUGUAGGGGUAAAAUCCGUAGAGAUGUGAAGGAACACCGGAGGCGAAGGCGCCUGCCUGGACGACUAUUGACGCUGAGGCGCGAAAGCGUGGGGAGCAAACA
rnacentral:rRNA from 1 species